rnacentral:rRNA from 1 species
UACGAAGGGGGGCUAGCGUUGUUCGGAUUUACUGGGCGUAAAGCGCACGUAGGCGGAUUGUUAAGUCAGGGGGUGAAAUCCUGGAGCUCAACUCCAGAACUGCCUUUGAUACUGGCAAUCUAGAGUCCGGAAGAGGUGAGUGGAACUCCUAGUGUGGAGGUGGAAUUUCGUAGAUAUUAGGAAGAACACCAGUGGCGAAAGG